rnacentral:rRNA from 1 species
AUGCCCAACGUCAUCUGGCUCGAAGGGGACUUCGUGGAGUCCGUCAAGGGGUGGCAAUCGGGGUGGUUCUACAUCACCGAGCCGCGCGACCCUAAGUGGGCGGCGGCCCCUGAGUUCAGAUCUGGUAUCCCUACGCAGCUCACCUCCUGGAAAGAGAAGGGCUUGCUAUGGGGUAGUUCGGAGGAGCUGACAGGACUCCAAGCCUGUAUCCAGAAGCUGGUGAACAAGAAGCUCAGGCUUGUCAAUGUGGUCCAAGUCAUGCUCAUCCGUCGGAUUCUCCCGUGCCAAGAACGGGCAUUUAAAUUGUGGGAGUUCAAUCCGGCACAGCACCAGGCAUUGAGCGGGCUCUUUGACACGACGUACGAAGGCGCCUGGAGGGUGCUGUUCAAGGGCGCCGAAGCUCCCACAUCCGCCACUGAAGAUCGCGGAUUUUGCUUGCAGCGUCCAGCUGACGAGGUAAGUGAUUCUACCCCUUUAUGGGACAUUUGUUUUUAA